rnacentral:rRNA from 1 species
GAUGAACGCUGGCGGCGUGCUUAACACAUGCAAGUCGAACGGAAAGGCCCUGCUUUUGUGGGGUGCUCGAGUGGCGAACGGGUGAGUAACACGUGAGUAACCUGCCCUUGACUUUGGGAUAACUUCAGGAAACUGGGGCUAAUACCGGAUAGGAGCUCCUGCUGCAUGGUGGGGGUUGGAAAGUUUCGGCGGUUGGGGAUGGACUCGCGGCUUAUCAGCUUGUUGGUGGGGUAGUGGCUUACCAAGGCUUUGACGGGUAGCCGGCCUGAGAGGGUGACCGGCGACAUUGGGACUGAGAUACGGCCCAGACUCCUACGGGAGGCAGCAGGGGGGAAUAUUGCACAAUGGGCGGAAGCCAGAUGCAGCAGCGCCGCGUGCGGGAUGACGGCCUUCGGGUUGUAAACCGCUUUCGCCUGUGACGAAGCGUGAGUGACGGUAAUGGGUAAAGAAGCACCGGCUAACUACGUG